UGGGAGUGAGUGUCCUGACCCAGGGGGAGGGAGCAGAGUGCAGGGCGAGGCAAGGGCCCUCUGCUGACCUUGCGGAUUUCACAGGGAUGAACCUGUGAGGGGGAGCCCGGAAGCCAGCUGGACUUUCAAGGGUGGCUAGGGAGUGGAAGGGGAAUUCUGGUGGCAUCAUCAGCAUACCGGUGCCAGAAUCCAGAAUUGCAGACACAGACUCUCCCCAAAGCCACAGACUCUCCUGGGAAGAAUGACACCGUGGGGCCUCCUGUGAGGAGCAAGGGGCCAUGAGAAGAACAUUAUACUUGGCGGGGUCCCACCUACUUCAUAUGCAUUUAGGGUUGGAGUCCUGAGUCCUGUGUCUCACUGCUUGGAAAUCCCAUGAAAGCGCUGAAGCCUCAUUCCGGGCAGCAGUGGAUGGUGGCUUUGUCACCAGCCAGUAAAGAAUAAGUGAGAGCAGUGAUGGAGGAAGAGGCCUGAGGGUUGCUGCCACCUUCUUGGUGCUGGAAUCCUUUGUGCUUGCAAAGGACCCGUGUGGGUCAGGUCACAGUGUUCCUGUGAAACUCCAACAAAACAAAUGUAACUAAUCUCUGUAGGAAUGGGAAAGUGUUAAAAACUUCGUGGGCUCUCCUGUAUAUUUCAGGCUAGAGGCAACAUUCUUUACUUGUAGCAAAAGCAAUAGAAUACAAACAUGGGAGUAGAAGAGAUCCAAUAUGGAGUCAGAUUUGUUCUUCCCUAUUACAAGAGAACACAGCCUGGGUCCAAGGAGUGAGAGGGGCUCUGGGGAGCAAGGCUCCCUGUCCCUCUUCUCCCACACCUGCACCCAGCAUGGACCUCACCCCGCUUCCUUCACAGUGUGGCGGAGACCCCGUCUCCGUCUGCCCCUGGAUGCAUGACUUGACACCCAUUCCUGGCAUCUGGGCUUGGCUGCUGGUCACUGCCCUGACCACAGAUGUUUCGGUUUCAGCGCAGCCUGGACGGUGGUCAAAUCCUUGGGGGCCUCUGUCUCUGGAAGGAACAAUCCUGCACUUGGAGAACAAGAAGCCCCUAUUCCCAAUUGCACUGUGGGUAGAGUUAAAGUGAAAACGUUAUUCAGCAAAUUUGUACUAAAUACUCCGAAGUACCAAAGAUUUCAUGGAGUUGAUAUGGCUUUUUCACUUUCCCUGGAUCCGCCCAUUUCGUCUUCGCCCUGGCCCUGAGCUGGGCUUCUCCUGCCGUCUCUGUUUUAUAGAAGAGGAGACAGGGGAUCACUCCCUCAAGCUCACACGGCUGAGUGCGGGCAGCCUGGCCGGGAUGGAGCUCUCGAUGAGUCACGGCCCUGCUUCGCUCCCUUCCUUGCUCAGUAGUCCUGGUUCUGACCUGGGAGAGGCAGCAGUGCGUGAUGGUUUGGACCAAGAUCCUAAUUCUCUGCUCAGGAAUGGAACCUGGGCAGCCUGGGUGAAAACCAGGAGUCCUAGCCACUAGACCAGCUACAGGCUAAAGCAGAACGGCCCUGAUUCUACCCCCUGUUGAAAAAGCAAGAAUGUUUCAAGGAGGCAAAGGCUGUAAAAAGGGUACAAAGUCUAUUGUUAGAGUCACAGUGCAACAUACGGAUGAGCACAGGGGAGUGGUUUAUUUACUGAGAUCAGAAGCAGAGCAGUAAUCCACACCGGAAGGAGGAGGAGGGCAGGUGUCCUAGUCGCCCUGAGAGCGGAGCGCACCAGGGAGCUGAGCUAAAUCGCUUACAUGGCGCGGGUCUUCCGGGUCUUUGUUUUCUUUGGCCAAUCAUCUUGUUUUACUUUCCUGGGGAGGGUCCAUGCUUACCCAGGGCCCUCCCCGGAAGGCGUAAGCAUCUUUUGCCAAAAAUGGAUUCCAGAGCAAAGGGUUCUGGGAUGGUAUCAGGACUUCUUAUGGCCUGGCACCCCCUCCCUUUUGACCCCUAGGUGCCUUACUGCGCAUGCGUGGCUGGGGAGCUCUCCUUGACCCCAGGAGUGGUUGAAGUGGUCGUCUUAUCUUUCUGCUCCAGCAGAGCCCAGCUCCUGCCCUUCACUUUCUCCUUGAUGUGUCAGAGGGAAGCCUGGCCCAUUGACUCAGCCUGAUGGUCCCAGCUCUUGUUAGGCCAGGGCCCCAUCUACCUCCUACCUCCGUUCUUUUCUGUGGCUGUGUGGACACAGUGCUGAGCCUCUGUGGCCAGUUUCCCUGCUUGUGAGGCCUGCCCGUGGCCCCAGUGCUCACAUUCCCUGAUUCACUGCCCUUCACCGAGGCCUCCCACAGGUGCAGGCCAGCCCCAGGCCCCUGGGGACUCCUCGAGAAGUGUGCGGUGGCCUCUGGCCGCCUCAGGGAACUUAUAAUACAUUUGGGGAUCCCACCGAUGAUACAGGAUGGUGAAUAAUUAAUUUUCCAAAGUGUGACUCAGCCCCGAGUGUAAGUAAGCGCUCUGGGAAGGCAGUCCUGCCAAGUGGAAAAACGGAUCAUCAUAAAGGAAGAGCAAGUCCCCCCGAACAGUCGCUGAAAAUGCCCUCUCCGUCAGGCAGGGUCAGACACACUUGUCUGGCAGACCAGUCAUUGCCAUCUGGCGCCCCGUCGGCCCAACCUGCCCCACCCCCAGCUGGGAGUCCGGGGCAGCUGGUGGACGUGCCUCAUUCAACGAAAGCACAAACACUUAGAGGGUGUGGGUGAAUAUACUCCCUUAUGUUGAAAUAUUUUCGCCAUGGGGCCAUGGGUGGCACAAAGAGGAUGUAUGCAGAGAAAUAGAGGGCUGGUUGGGAUUGUGCAAAGUCACCAAACGAACCUGGUGACAGAGAUGCCACACACUGCGGCUGGUUUCUGCAGCCGUAAAGAACGAGUCGUGAGAAACACAGUCUGACUGGGUGGGGGCUGUGACACCAGGAAGAGAAACAGCGGAGACAGUCUUUGAAAACAUUGAGCUCAGGUUGGCCAAGUGAGCUGAAGAAGGAGUCUCAGGUCCGUUUUGACACAUUAUUGCAGCGUUUCAGAGCCUGUGGGCGGAGGCACCUGGCCCAGGAUUCUUGCUCUGCCACCGUGCCUCUUCCUCUGCUGGUUUUCCUGGGGUUCUGGGCCAGUUCUGCUGCUCAUUCCACCACUGCAAGGACAAGGCCAUCCGUUUCCAGGGCUCCAGCUGAACAACAGUGGGAUGGGCACAGCCUUAGAGGUCCAGCUGAGAGCUGCCCAUAGGCUCUGGACUCACGUUUGUGGCUCUUUUCUGGGUCUCCGUUCUGAGUCCCACAGCUGCCUCUUCUCCACUAAACUCUUCCCAAAUUUGCUUCUCCCCACUUGUAACUCACGCUCCCUCACCAUCCUCCACGUGCAAAUUGUCACCGGUUCCGUCCUCUGUGACCCUCUUCAUGCCACACGUGGACCUCAGUUCAGGCCCACCUGGCAUCUCCUUCCCCGGUAGCCCCCACACGGGUUUCCCCCUCCCCAUUUUGCUCGCCUUUAGUCCACCUUCCACACGGCCGCCGAAGCGCUUCCACAGCACAAAUAGGAAGUGUAGCUUCCCCACUUACAGCCCCUCAAAGCCUGCCAGUUGCUUUGGGGCUUUAGCCUAAACCCAGUUACUAUAAAGCGCCCUCCCGAGUGGGGCCCGGGGUCCUGCCCCCGUGGUCUGCCAGGACGGGAUGGAAUGCGUGCGGCUGGUAAAUGAAAAUAAACAUCUCUCCCAACCCCCUGCUCUGCUAUACUCCUAACUCCAGGACAUCUCGGCAGAGUCCACCAUGCUCUUUCUAAUGAAGGUACCUCAGAACCUACUUAUACAGUGAUGAGAAAAUGCCAAAGAGCCCAGGACAACCACAGCAGAAAACCAGGAUCACCAGGGAAGAAAGCGGAGCCCUUCCUGCCCUCCCUGCCCAGAGCCAACCCUCCCCAGCUGGGCCCUCCCCAAGCCUUGCCUAUAACUCUCCUAUGACCUUUCAAAUGAUGUGGCAUCUGUUUGUUUAUUACUUGGCUUAUCUCUUAAUUUAAACUGUCAGCAGCCUGAGUUCAGGGAGGUUACAUCUGUCUGCAUCUGUAUUUUCUGCGCAGUUCCUACCCUCCGGCACCGGGCUGAGGAGGGCCAAUUAUGAAGUCUUCCCGUCGUGGCGCAGUGGUUAAGGAAUCCGACUAGGAACCAUGAGGUUGCGGGUUCGGUCCCUGCCCUUGCUCAGUGGGUUAACGAUCCGGCGUUGCCGUGAGAUGUGGUGUAGGUUGCAGACGUGGCUCGGAUCCCGCAUUGCUGUGGCUCUGGGGGAGGCCAGUGGCUACAGUUCCGAUUGGACCCCUAGCCUGGGAAUCUCCAUAUGCCAUGGGAGCGGCCCAAAGAAAUAGCAACAACAACAACAACA
rnacentral:lncRNA from 1 species